AAAUUAAGUCAACCCCUCCCCUGGUCCAGCCCCUUAAUUAGCUGAGCCAUAUAUAAAGCACCUGUGGCAGCAUGGCUUCCUUUUCGUCUUGGCUGCUUGCUGGUUGCCACAUGUUCUGUGUGCUGAGCCCCCUGUCUGCUAGUCUGCCUCUCUGACUCGUGUGAUCUGGUGUCUUCAUUGCUGAGAUGUGUAAGCGCACCAGGACACAAUAGUUUGCACCUGUUUGCUGUGAGUUCAAGAGUGGUACUACCUGUCUAAAUCAUUAAAUUUACAUUGUCUUUUGGAACCACGUCUGUCUUAAUAAAGGUGUUGAACCUG